rnacentral:rRNA from 1 species
UAGCUAGUUGGUGAGGUAAAGGCUUACCAAGGCGACGAUCUGUAGCGGGUCUGAGAGGAUGAUCCGCCACACUGGAACUGAGACACGGUCCAGACUCCUACGGGAGGCAGCAGUGGGGAAUUUUGGACAAUGGGGGCAACCCUGAUCCAGCCAUGCCGCGUGAGUGAAGAAGGCCUUCGGGUUGUAAAGCUCUUUCGGCCGGGAAGAAAUCGCAUGGGCCAAUACCCUGUGUGGAUGACGGUACCGGAAUAAGAAGCACCGGCUAACUACGUGCCAGCAGCCGCGGUAAUACGUAGGGUGCGAGCGUUAAUCGGAAUUACUGGGCGUAAAGCGUGCGCAGGCGGUUUUGUAAGACAGGCGUGAAAUCCCCGGGCUUAACCUGGGAACUGCGUUUGUGACUGCAAGGCUAGAGUACGGCAGAGGGGGGUGGAAUUCCACGUGUAGCAGUGAAAUGCGUAGAGAUGUGGAGGAACACCAAUGGCGAAGGCAGCCCCCUGGGUCGAUACUGACGCUCAUGCACGAAAGCGUGGGUAGCAAACAGGAUUAGAUACCCUGGUAGUCCACGCCCUAAACUAUGUCAACUAGGUGUUGGGUGGGUAAAACCAUUUAGUACCGUAGCUAACGCGUGAAGUUGACCGCCUGGGGAGUACGGCCGCAAGGUUAAAACUCAAAGGAAUUGACGGCACCCGCACAAGCGGUGGAUGAUGUGGAUUAAUUCGAUGCAACGCGAAAAACCUUACCUACCCUUGACAUGCCAGGAAUUUGCCAGAGAUGGCUUGGUGCCCGAAAGGGAGCCUGGACACAGGUGCUGCAUGGCUGUCGUCAGCUCGUGUCGUGAGAUGUUGGGUUAAGUCCCGCAACGAGCGCAACCCUUGUCGUUAAUUGCCAUCAUUUAGUUGGGCACUUUAACGAGACUGCCGGUGACAAACCGGAGGAAGGUGGGGAUGACGUCAAGUCCUCAUGGCCCUUAUGGGUAGGGCUUCACACGUCAUACAAUGGUCGGUACAAAGGGUUGCCAAGCCGCGAGGCGGAGCCAAUCCCAGAAAGCCGAUCGUAGUCCGGAUUGCAGGCUGCAACUCGCCUGCAUGAAGUCGGAAUCGCUAGUAAUCGUGGAUCAGCAUGUCACGGUGAAUACGUUCCCGGGUCUUGUACACACCGCCCGUCACACCAUGGGAGCGGGUUCCGCCAGAAGUAGGUAGCCUAACCGCAAGGGGGGCGCUUACCACGGCGGGGUUCGUGACUGGGGUGAAGUCGGAACAAGGUAGCCGUAGGGGAACCUGCGGCUG